UUGUAUGGCAUCUGUAGCAGUGGAAGGAACAAACACAGAGAUAUAUGGUGCUGUUUCUCCUGCCACCUGUGCUGGUGGAUGGGGGAUCGUCCUAGGAAACCAGCAGAGACUGAUGCUGACAGAAUGCGUGUUUAUACAAAGCAUACACAAGUCCUGAAGGAUAAUGAAGAAAAAGCAUUUGCGGAAGGAGCCAGCCAAAGCAGAGUUUAAGAGGACAGCAUUCCACACAGAGUGAAGAUCUGACAUUCAGAACGUGAGACUGAAAGGGCCAGCCAUUUCCAAGAGACAGAAGAAGGAGAGUGGGUCUAAAAUCUCACAACCAAGGUGAAAGGAUCAAGCUGCUUCAGGAAGACUAGAAGGGGACAAAAAGCAGAAAGAACACUCCUGAGACUGUCACAUUAGCUGAGACAUGACUUACAUGAAGAUAGUAACAAUGGCUAACAUUAAGGCAUGUGCAUGUGCCAAAGAGAGAAACCCAACAGUGAGGGAAAAAUUAAUGCUGCAGGAGAGAGAGGAAAUCGUUGCAGAAGCAAAGACCUUGAGGUACUGAGAAAGGAUGACCCUAAUUUCCUCAAUGAUGCACUAAGUAUUUGUUUACUGUAAGUCUUAGCUAAACCAUUGAAUAAAGCGAUUCUA